CCUACGGGGGGCAGCAGUGAGGAAUAUUGGUCAAUGGCCGAGAGGCUGAACCAGCCAAGUCGCGUGAGGGAAGACGGCCCUACGGGUUGUAAACCUCUUUUGUCGGGGAGCAAAGAGAGUCACGUGUGACUCAUUGAGAGUACCCGAAGAAAAAGCAUCGGCUAACUCCGUGCCAGCAGCCGCGGUAAUACGGAGGAUGCGAGCGUUAUCCGGAUUUAUUGGGUUUAAAGGGUGCGCAGGCGGAGGGGCAAGUCAGCGGUCAAAUUGCGGGGCUCAACCCCGUACUGCCGUUGAAACUGCAGCCCUUGAGUGCGCGAGAAGUAGGCGGAAUGCGUGGUGUAGCGGUGAAAUGCAUAGAUAUCACGCAGAACUCCGAUUGCGAAGGCAGCAUACCGGAGCGCAACUGACGCUCAUGCACGAAAGCGUGGGUAUCGAACAGGAUUAGAUACCCCUGUAGUC
rnacentral:rRNA from 1 species